CACAAAGAUAAUCAACCAGAAAUCUCACAAAGAGAAGAAGGAAGGGUCACACAGACAAAGGAACUCGAAGGUUCCAAACGACAGAGAGAAAGAAAGAAAAACAGAAAGUGACGAUUCAAGAGCCAAACAGGGAGUAAGGAGGAUAUUUAUAGUAAAUAUCAUCAACCGUUGAUCAGCGGGUCAAUCCAACGGUCCAAGAGCGACUAAUGGUGUGUGGGCUGGAUAUUGGGCUCGGUUAAGUGGGCCUUCUAGGUAUAUAUUUAAUGGACCAAGUAAUAAAUCCAAUUUGGGCCUUUUCAUCAUUGCCUAACAGUUGGACUGGAUCAAAUGGCAUCACAGCCCAACAGAUCUCCACCUUGAUGCCAGUGAUCAUACAAGAAGCCUAAUAAAUGUAAAAUACAAUUUAAAUGUCCUUCUCAAGAAGACAGCUUCCCAGCAUUCUCAACAAGCAUCAACUUUAGCACCUUAGUACCUAAAUCAGCUGGAUUAUACUGAGUUGCAAUUUUCUCAAGUAAUAUAAGUUCUUUAGAAACAACAUCUCUAAUAAAAUGCAACUUAACAUCAAUAUGUUUUGUUCUUUCAUGAAAAACAGGGUUUUUACAUAGGUGAAUUGCACUUUGACUAUCAGAAUACAAGACAACAGGGUUACUCAAUUCAUUAAUUUCAGAUAAUAAGCCCUUAAGCCAUAAUGCUUCUUUUAUUGCUUCAGUUGCAGCAACAUACUCAGCUUCAGUAGUAGAUAAAGCAACAAUAGGUUGAAGUUGAGAUUUCCAACUAAUGCAUGUAUUACACAAAGUAAACAUAUAAGAAGUAGUAGAUUUCCUAUUGUCUCUAUCUCCGGCAAAAUCUGAAUCUACAAAACCCUUAAGUACAACACCUUCAUUACAAGCACUAAAGAUCAAACCAACAUGUGAAGAUCCUUUCAAGUAUCUCAACAGCCAUUUUAGAGCACCCCAAUGGUCUGGUCCUGGAUUAGCCAUAAAUCUACUAAGUGAGCUAAUGGAAUGAGCUACAUCAGGCCUAGUACAUACCAUAGUGUACAUGACAGAACCUACGGCAUUAGCAUAAGGUACAUUUUCCAUUUGCCUAAUGUCAGAUUCACUUACAGGACAUUGCUCUUUACUAAGCUUAAAAUGGCUGGCCAAUGGAAGUGAAACAGAUUUAGAAUUAUGCAUGGCAAACUUAGUCAACAUCUUUUCAAUAUAUGCAGUUUGCUUCAAGUACAGUAUCCUACUGUGCCUUUUCCUCGUGAUUUCCAUACCUAAGAUUCUCUUUGCAUGUCCUAGGUCUUUCAUUUCAAAUUCAGCACUUAAAGACCGUUUUAUCUGNGUCGACACAAAAUCAAAACUAGGGUUUCGCGAUCUCCGGUCGAACUCCUGGAAAUUAAUUUUCCAGUGUUCAACCUUCAAUCGAAGACUCACGACCGAAAGCCUAUAGCUCUGAUACCACUAUUACAAACUGAAUCCAAGAAAACAUAGAUGAAAUCAUAGAAUCGCAGAUUACACCAUAAACCCUAAAUCACAACAUCAAGGCUUAGAUCUUUCAAUCGAAGGCUCAGACCACACCCAUUUACCAUCACAGAGGCACCGAGACUCAAAACGAACCCUCACAACCCAACACACCAAGGUCACUUCACUGGACUCAAGAAAUCAAACUGCCUACCUUCGGUUGAUCACUCACACAAAGGAGAAUCACACAAGAACACGAUUAUCACAAAGAUAAUCAACCAGAAACCUCACAAAGAGAAGAAGGAAGGGUCACACAGACAAAGGAACUCGAAGGUUCCAAACGGCAGAGAGAAAGAAGAAAAAAUAGAAAGUGACGAUCCAAGAGCCAAACAGGGAGUAAGGAGGAUAUUUAUAGUAAAUAUCAUCAACCGUUGAUCAGCGGGUCAAUCCAACGGUCCAAGAGCGACUAAUGGUGUGUGGGCUGGAUAUUGGGCUCGGUUAAGUGGGCCUUCUAGGUAUAUAUUUAAUGGACCAAGUAAUAAAUCCAAUUUGGGCCUUUUCAUCAUUGCCUAACAGUUGGACUGGAUCAAAUGGCAUCACAGCCCAACAAUUCUUGGUAAUGCCCUCACAAUCUCUAACUACAUGUGCUUCUAGUCGAAGGUUAUUAUCAUUAGAUGGUGUUUUUAAUGGCACAAGGAAUUGCACAAAGAGGCCAGCAAAUGGAAAGCAAUCUAUAAAUAAAGCUAACAAAUCUUUGGAAGAUCCAUUAGUAAUCAAGGAUAGAUCUUGUCCAAAUAGAGACAUCCUGUGAAGCUUGAAUCAAUAGUAAGAUGUGUAAAUUCCCUGAAAAUGCAGGUAUUUUCUCAUUGGCAAUGUAGAUUAAACAAAUGUAUAUGUAAAGAAGCAAAAACUGAUUUUGAGUAUGAUGAUAUCUUUGCAGUGUAGAACUGUAGAACAGGAAAAGGAGGGGAGGUCUGGUUCUCAUUUGACAAAAUGUUUGAUGCUGAAAACGAGACAAAUAAAAGUAAACUUAGAUUAUUUAGUUUUAGAAAAAUUAGGUAGAGUUUUUCUAUGGUGUAGAUCUUUUUACCCCCUGAUAGUACAUUUUUACUUAACACGAAGGUUUAGAUUUGGUGCUUCGUGUUUUUCCAACAAUGCACGCUGUGCUGCUAGAAGUCAAAAAUUUCUGCUCCAUGUUAGUGCAAAAGAAGGUCUGGUAAUUAUUUUUUCCUUUUGAUUUUUUUGCCACGAACUUCUGCGUUCAAUGUAACAUAGAUUUUGGCAUUGUAAUAUUUAUUUUAAACUUAUAAUAUCCCUUUUUGCAUUUAUGCAAAUGAUAUUCGGCAAGAAUUAUGGUGGAGGACUUAUUGUAUUUGCACCCAGACGUAUUUUCUAGUGGAGUACUGUAACUAUUCCACAAGGGCCAAUCAGAAUGUCGGUGCCAAUGGUUGCCAUCAGUUCUGUGGAAGAGAUAGGUGGUGGUGGUGGAAAUAAUAAGGAUGAGAAGGAAGGACAAUUUCAAAGAAAACCUAGGAGGAGUUGGUCAUCUAUGCUACAUAGAUAAUUCUUGCUAGCCCUUCAAAAACUUGGUGGUUCACACAGUAUAAUUUAUUAUCAAAUUAACUUUGACUAAGAUACAUGUGACUUCAUUUUUGCAUUGAUUGUUCUGGUUCGUCUUAUUAUACAGUUGCUACACCUAAACAAUUAAGGAUUUGAUGAAGGUUGACGGUCUAACAAAUUUUGAAGUAAAAAGUCAUUUACAGGUUUGUUCGAUCAAAAUAUUUUCCUUGUAAAAAUUCUUUAAAAUUGAAAAUGGCUUGAAUUAGCUAUGGAAGUUUUUUACUUGACGGGUUGCUCUUGCCAAGUGAAUAUCGCUUAUUUUGGAGAUAAUGAAUUGUGUUAUACAAUAAAUUUACGCUCUAAUUAAGAUCUUUGUGCUUUCAUUGCAGAAAUAUAGGCUGCAUGGGUGACGACCAGGUCAUUUUAUUUAUUAUCACAGUAGACAAGCAUCACAGUACCUGGUGGUGGGAGGAGUCUAGGGGCCAUCACCUGAAUAUGAUGCUACAUUGGAUACAAAAACUACAGCCACCACUUGUAAUCAAAUCUAUGGGCCAAUUGCUUUUCGACUACCACCAUUACAAAGGCAGCAGUAUAACCAAUUCCACUCUGAUGACCAAGCUAGUCAUUCUGAUGAUAGAACUCACUCUUGGUCCCUGGCCACCUCCUUCUCUAUGCAUUCAACCACAAUUCACACCCUAUUGAUUUUUCUCCUUGCAUAUUUGAUACAUAGUAAAAGACUACCCUGACAACAUGAUAAGAAAAAGUAUAGUCGUCAUUUUUUCUUGGGAAAUACCACUAUCUAAUUUAACUUACCUUUUUAUUUAUUUAUUUUUAUUUUUUGGAAGGAGAGAGGGGGGGGGGAUGGCUCUAGUCAUUUCGUAUAACCAUUUAGUAAAAUAUAAAGCCAAUGAGACCUUAUGUAUUUUCCAUAUUUAUUGAACUUCCAAUAUUAUGUUUUUUGAAAUUUAUAUGCAUUGGAGAAUGAUAUUAUAGCUCAGUAAGUGUUGUUGGAACUUCCCUGUUUACUGGAUAUUGUAAUAAUAAAUAUCAAUAUAAAGAAUAAACCCCCCUUAAAAUUCCAGCUUGCUAAUUUUAUUAUUUGUGCUAUGUCAACUGGUGGCAGAUUCUACAUUAUUUUUUAAUAGAAAAUAUUUCAUAGGCCUCUACUCUUUUAUCUCAUCUAAUCAAAAGUAGGAACGAGAUGAUAUCCCAUGCAUGCUUCUUGUUUUUGUGUUAAUUAAUCUGGUUUGCACAUUGUUGAAUUUAAUAUUUUCAGGUUAAAUUGUUGGAAUAUAGUGGUGCACCUAUUUAUUUUUUUUAUUGAAUUGAUUUCUUCAUUUAAUUUAUUUUUUUGUAGAUAUCUCAUCUUAUUUCUCCUUAUUUGAACUUACCAUGUUUGUUUUGUAAUAUAUGAUGCUUGGUAAUCUGAAACUUAUGAUUAGUACAUGUGUUUAAUAUUCAUUCUCCAUUGCACUAAAACCUUGCAACCGAGGGAGGCAACAGUGCCAAUAACAUGUAUUCCGUCGAAGAAUCUGAUGUUGGUAUACUUCGCUAUAUCUCUUAGCUUACAGGCUUCCAUGGAAUUCACAGGAAAAGGUAUCUCUUUGGUCUCUCCCUUAAUAUUUGCAUACAUCAAAUAUACUUACGUUAUUUAUCAACCUUAAGACGAUUUUUAGAAAUGUAUCUCAAUUAAUUAUCUUUAAUGUUCGAAUUAUGAACGUGAAUGCAAGGGUAGAAGCAAGUUCUGAUAUUUUAGUACAAAUGAGGAUACCAGGUACUGAAAUAUUCAGCGAG
rnacentral:lncRNA from 1 species